rnacentral:rRNA from 1 species
UGGCGCACGGGUGCGUAACGCGUGGGAAUCUGCCCCUUGGUUCGGAAUAACAGUUAGAAAUGACUGCUAAUACCGGAUGAUGACGUAAGUCCAAAGAUUUAUCGCCGAGGGAUGAGCCCGCGUAGGAUUAGCUAGUUGGUGUGGUAAGAGCGCACCAAGGCGACGAUCCUUAGCUGGUCUGAGAGGAUGAUCAGCCACACUGGGACUGAGACACGGCCCAG